CCUACGGGUGGCAGCAGUGGGGAAUAUUGGACAAUGGGGGCAACCCUGAUCCAGCCAUGCCGCGUGUGUGAAGAAGGCCCUCGGGUUGUAAAGCACUUUCAGUGAGGAAGAACGCCUGGUGGUUAAUACCCAUCAGGAAAGACAUCACUCACAGAAGAAGCACCGGCUAACUCCGUGCCAGCAGCCGCGGUAAUACGGAGGGUGCGAGCGUUAAUCGGAAUUACUGGGCAUAAAGCGCGCGUAGGUGGCUUGAUAAGCCGGUUGUGAAAGCCCCGGGCUCAACCUGGGAACGGCAUCCGGAACUGUCAAGCUAGAGUGCAGGAGAGGAAGGUAGAAUUCCCGGUGUAGCGGUGAAAUGCGUAGAGAUCGGGAGGAAUACCAGUGGCGAAGGCGGCCUUCUGGACUGACACUGACACUGAGGUGCGAAAGCGUGGGUAGCAAACAGGAUUAGAUACCCUUGUAGUC
rnacentral:rRNA from 1 species